GAAAUUUCUGAAUUACAAGAAACAACAAAUCAUCAAGCAGAAGAAAGUAAAAAGAGUCUGGCAACAAAAAACCAAUCAAUUCAAGCAUUCACAAUGCAUUCAGAGAAUGGGAAGGAAGAAGAGAAUAAACUAUUAAAAGAAAUUGAUAGGCUUAACCAUGAAAUUUCUAUCUUGCAAUCAACAAAAAAACAUCAGGAUGAGGAAAUUCAAGAAUUGCAGACAAAUCAAGUAAGUCCAUAUUUA